UACGUAGGGUCCGAGCGUUGUCCGGAAUUAUUGGGCGUAAAGAGCUCGUAGGUGGUGUGUCGCGUCGGGUGUGAAAUUUCGGAGCUUAACUCCGAAACUGCAUUCGAUACUGCGGUGCUUGAGGACUGGAGAGGAGACUGGAAUUCAUGGUGUAGCAGUGAAAUGCGUAGAGAUCAUGAGGAAGACCAGUGGCGAAGGCGGGUCUCUGGACAGUUCCUGACACUGAGACACGAAGGCCAGGGGAGCAAACGGG
rnacentral:rRNA from 1 species